ACCAUCAACAUCAGUUGCUUAGAGGUUGGUGCUGAUAACGCCAAGGUUGCAGGUUUGAUUCCUGUUUGGAACA